UAACAAGGAUUCCCCUAGUAACUGCGAGUGAAGCGGGAAAAGCUCAAAUUUAAAAUCUGGCGGUCUUUGGCCGUCCGAGUUGUAAUCUAGAGAAGUAAUGCCCGUGCUGGACCGUGUAUAAGUCUCCUGGGAUGGGGCGUCAUAGAGGGUGAGAAUCCCGUCUUUGACACGGACUACCAGUGCRUUGUGGUAUGCUCUCAAAGAGUCGAGUUGUUUGGGAAUGCAGCUCAAAAUGGGUGGUAAAUUCCAUCUAAAGCUAAAUAUUGGCGAGAGACCGAUAGCGAACAAGUACCGUGAGGGAAAGAUGAAAAGAACUUUGGAAAGAGAGUUAAACAGUACGUGAAAUUGCUGAAAGGGAAACGCUUGAAGUCAGUCGCGUUGGCCGGGAAUCAGCCCUGCUUUUGCAUGGUGUACUUUCUGGUCGACGGGUCAGCAUCAAUUUUGAUCACUGGAAAAGGCUCAAGGGAAUGUGGCAGCUUCGGCUGUGUUAUAGCCCCUGUUCACAUACAGUGGUUGGGAUUGAGGAACUCAGCACGCCGCAAGGCCGGGUUUCGACCACGUUCGUGCUUAGGAUGCUGGCAUAAUGGCUUUAAGCGACCCGUCUUGAAACACGGACCAAGGAGUCUAACAUGCCUGCGAGUAUUUGGGUGGAAAACCCAGGUGCGCAAUGAAAGUGAAAGUUGAGAUCCCUGUCGUGGGGAGCAUCGACGCCCGGACCAGAACUUUUGGGACGGAUCCGCGGUGGAGCAUGUAUGUUGGGACCCGAAAGAUGGUGAACUAUGCCUGAAUAGGGUGAAGCCAGAGGAAACUCUGGUGGAGGCUCGUAGCGAUUCUGACGUGCAAAUCGAUCGUCAAAUUUGGGUAUAGG
rnacentral:rRNA from 1 species